GUGAAUCAUCAAAUUUUUGAACGCAAAUUGCACUCUCCUCGGAGAGUAUGCCUGUUUGAGGGUCAGCCUAUAAAAAAUCGACAUCGUUGCUGUUUCGCGGUGGCGUUCGUCGGAAAUUGGGUCAUCUUAAAUCUUUUGGGUUUAAACGAAUUUAAAUUUUCUUUUUGGUUCCAUGAAAGUUUCUUAGAUUUAUUUCUUUAAAAGUUUAAGGUAUCGAGUUUUUCUUUACA
rnacentral:misc_RNA from 1 species